GAUGAACGCUGGCGGCGUGCCUAAUACAUGCAAGUCGAGCGAACAGACGAUGCGCUUGCUCCUCUGACGUUAGCGGCGGACGGGUGAGUAACACGUGGAUAACCUACCUAUCAGACUGGGAUAACUUCGGGACACCGGAGCUAAUACCGGAUAAUAUAUUGCACCGCAUGGUUCAAUAGUGAAAUACGGUUUUGCUGUCACUUAUAGAUGGAUCCGCGCCGCAUUAGCUAGUUGUUAAGUUAACGGCUUACCAAGGCAACGAGGCGUAGCCGACCGGAGAGGGGGAUAGGCGACCCGGGAACGGAGACGCGGACCAGACGCCUGCGGGAGGCAGCAGUAGGGAAUCGUCGGCAAUGGGCGAAAGCUUGACGGAGCAACGCCGAGUGAGUGAUGAAGGUCUUGGGAGCGUAAAACUCGGUUAUUAGGGAAAAACAAAUGUGUAAGUAAAUAUGCACGGCGUGACGGUACCGAAUAAGAAAGCAACGGCUAACUACGUG
rnacentral:rRNA from 1 species